GAUGAGCCCGCGGCCUAUCAGCUAGUUGGUGGGGUAAUGGCCCACCAAGGCUGUGACGGGUAGCCGGGCUGAGAGGCUGUCCGGCCACACCGGGACUGAGACACGGCCCGGACUCCUACGGGAGGCAGCAGUGGGGAAUCUUGGGCAAUGGGCGAAAGCCUGACCCAGCGACGCCGCGUGGGGGAUGAAGGCCUUCGGGUCGUAAACCCCUGUCAGGAGGGACGAAGCCCGCAAGGGUGACGGUACCUCCAGAGGAAGCCCCGGCCAACUACGUGCCAGCAGCCGCGGUAAGACGUAGGGGGCGAGCGUUGUCCGGAUUGACUGGGCGUAAAGCGCGCGUAGGCGGCCAUGCAAGUCGGGCGUGAAAGCUCGGGGCUCAACUCCGAGAGGCCGUCCGAUACUGCAUGGCUAGAGGGCGGUAGGGGGCAGUGGAAUUCCCGGUGUAGCGGUGAAAUGCGCAGAUAUCGGGAGGAACACCGGUGGCGAAGGCGGCUGCCUGGGCCGUCCCUGACGCUGAGGCGCGAAAGCUGGGGGAGCGAACAGGAUUAGAUACCCUGGUAGUCCCAGCCGUAAACGGUGGGCGCUAGGUGUGGGGGGUUGAAACCCUCUGUGCCGCAGCUAACGCAUUAGGCGCCCCGCCUGGGGAGUACGGCCGCAAGGCUAAAACUCAAAGGAAUUGACGGGGGCCCGCACAAGCGGCGGAGCAUGUG
rnacentral:rRNA from 1 species